CAAUAUUAGGCAAGUACCACAGCGACCACAACUACUUCCACAACCACAACGACCACAACAACCAAAACUACCACAACUACUACAACUACCACAACUACUACAACUACCACAACAACCACAACAACGACCACAACAACCACAACUGCCACAAUUACAACAACUACUGCAACUAAUCCAGGAUGUGGAGCUUAUUCGAAGAGAUUGGCUAUGACAAGAAUUGUUGGCGGAUCACCAUCAGAUCCUAAUGAAUGGCCAUGGUUAGCUGCUCUGUUGAUUCCAAUCUCUGGCGAAUUAAGCAAUUAUUGUGGUGGGGCUCUUAUAUCAGAAACCCAUAUUCUCACAGCUGCUCACUGCAUUCAAAUGUAGUUUUUAGUAGUAAUAAUAAUGA